rnacentral:rRNA from 1 species
UACGGAGGAUGCAAGCGUUACUCGGAAUUACUGGGUGUAAAGGGCGCGUAGGCGGCAUGGCAAGUCAGGAGUGAAAGGCCUGGGCUCAACCGAGGAACUGCUUUUGAUACUGCCAAGCUAGAGUGCGGAAGGGGCAACUGGAAUUCCCAGUGUAGCGGUGAAAUGCGUAGAUAUUGGGAAGAACACCUGAGGCGAAGGCGGGUUGCUGGGCCGACACUGACGCUGAGGCGCGAAAGCCAGGGGAGCAAACGGG